CUAGGAGUUUGACCCUGAGCCUGGAUCAAACUCUAGAGUGAGAACCACGUGAGCAACCUGCCCCUAGCUUUGGGAUAACCCUCGGAAACGGGGGCUAAUACCGAAUAUUACUUCUGGCCGCAUGGCUGGUGGUGGAAAGUUUUUCGGCUUGGGAUGGGCUCGCGGCCUAUCAGCUUGUUGGUGGGGUGAUGGGCUACCAAGGGGACGACGGGUAGCCGGCCUGAGAGGGCGACCGGCCACACUGGGACUGAAACGCGGCCCAGACUCCUACGGGAGGCAGCAAUGGGGAAUAUUGCACAAUGGGCGGAACCCUGAUGCAUCGACGCCGCGUGAGGGAUGACGGCCUUCGGGUUGUAAACCUCUUUCAGCAGGGACGAAACGAGAGUGACGGUACCUGCACAAGAAGCACCGGCCAACUACGUGCCAGCAUCCGCGGUAAGACGUAGGGUGCGAGCGUUGUCCGGAUUUAUUGGGCGUAAAGAGCUCGUAGGCGGCUUGUCGCGUCGACCGUGAAAACUUGGGGCUCAACCCCAAACCUGCGGUCGAUACGGGCAGGCUAGAGUUCAGUAUGGGAGACUGGAAUUCCUGGUGUAGCGGUGAAAUGCGCAGAUAUCAGAGAGGAACACCGGUGGCGAUCGCGGGUCUCUGGGCCGAUACUGACGCUGAUGAGCGAAAGCGUGGGGAGCGAACAGGAUUAUAUACCCUGGUAGUCCACGCUGUAAACGUUGGGCGCUAGGUGUGGGGGGCCUCUCCGGUUCCCUGUGCCGCAGCUAACGCAUUAAGCGCCCCGCCUGGGGAGUACGGCCGCAAGGCUAAAACUCAAAGGAAUUGACGGGGGCCCGCACAAGCGGCGGAGCAUGCGGAUUAAUUCGAUGCAACGCGAAGAACCUUACCUGGGUUUGACAUGGCCGCAAAACUCGCAGAGAUGUGAGGUCCUUCGGGGGCGGUCACAGGUGGUGCAUGGCUGUCGUCAGCUCGUGUCGUGAGAUGUUGGGUUAAGUCCCGCAACGAGCGCAACCCUCGUUCGAUGUUGCCAGCGCGUUAUGGCGGGGACUCAUCGAAGACUGCCGGGGUCAACUCGGAGGAAGGUGGGGAUGACGUCAAGUCAUCAUGCCCCUUAUGUCCAGGGCUUCACGCAUGCUACAAUGGCCGGUACAAUGGGCUGCGAUACCGUGAGGUGGAGCGAAUCCCAAAAAGCCGGUCUCAGUUCGGAUCGGGGUCUGCAACUCGACCCCGUGAAGUCGGAGUCGCUAGUAAUCGCAGAUCAGCAACGCUGCGGUGAAUACGUUCCCGGGCCUUGUACACACCGCCCGUCACGUCACGAAAGUCGGCAACACCCGAAGCCGGUGG
rnacentral:rRNA from 1 species